GAUGAACGCUGGCGGCGUGCUUAACACAUGCAAGUCGAACGAAGCUGUUAAAAGGAAGUCUUCGGAUAGAAUUUUAACAGACUUAGUGGCGGACGGGUGAGUAACGCGUGGAUAACCUGCCUUAUACAGGGGGAUAACGGAGAGAAAUUUCCGCUAAGACCGCAUAAGACCACAGCACCGCAUGGUGCAGGGGUAAAAUAUUAAUAGGUAUAAGAUGGAUCCGCGUCCGAUUAGCUAGUUGGUGAGGUAGAGGCUCACCAAGGCGAUGAUCGGUAGCCGGCCUGAGAGGGUGAACGGCCACAUUGGGACUGAGACACGGCCCAAACUCCUACGGGAGGCAGCAGUGGGGAAUAUUGGACAAUGGGGGAAACCCUGAUCCAGCGACGCCGCGUGAGUGAAGAAGUAUUUCGGUAUGUAAAGCUCUAUCAGCAGGGAAGAAAAUGACGGACCUGACUAAGAGCCCCGGUA
rnacentral:rRNA from 1 species